rnacentral:rRNA from 1 species
GAUGAACGCUGGCGGCGUGCCUAAUACAUGCAAGUCGAGCGAACAGACGAGGAGCUUGCUCCUCUGACGUUAGCGGCGGACGGGUGAGUAACACGUGGAUAACCUACCUAUAAGACUGGGAUAACUUCGGGAAACCGGAGCUAAUACCGGAUAAUAUAUUGAACCGCAUGGUUCAAUAGUGAAAGACGGUUUUGCUGUCACUUAUAGAUGGAUCCGCGCCGCAUUAGCUAGUUGGUAAGGUAACGGCCUACCAAGGCAACGAUGCGUAGCCGACCUGAGAGGGUGAUCGGCCACACUGGAACUGAGACACGGUCCAGACUCCUACGGGAGGCAGCAGUAGGGAAUCUUCCGCAAUGGGCGAAAGCCUGACGGAGCAACGCCGCGUGAGUGAUGAAGGUCUUCGGAUCGUAAAACUCUGUUAUUAGGGAAGAACAAAUGUGUAAGUAACGAUGCACGUCUUGACGGUACCUAAUCAGAAAGCCACGGCUAACUACGU